ensembl:ncRNA sncRNA:419 small non-coding RNA 419
GCGCAUCUAAGAGGAUCGCGAUCAGGAUCAGAAUCCGAAUGCGAAUGUGGGCUGGCGGAAGGACCAGCGACACU